rnacentral:tRNA from 1 species
UGGGGCGGGGUGCGUCUGGUAGCACGUCGGACUGUUAAUCCGAAAGGUCCAGGUUCGAAUCCUGGCGCCCCAGCCA